rnacentral:lncRNA from 1 species
GCAUCCCGCGCGCAGUGGGCGUUACUAACGGACAGCACCGGCCUCUGGGAGUUCAGAUACAGUGAUGCUUCAGAAACUGUGGACCCUCGGACCCAGCCCCUGUUAAUGUUGAAGGACCAGGAAAUAUGAAUCUAGGUAGCAGCUGAGGCUCUAGCUAAGGACCAUGCAAAGCGUGUUGGAGAAUGUGUUUCCAGCUCACCUAAGUAAAAAAAAAAAGACUACCCGACCCGACCGCACAGAUUCGCAGUCGAGUUGAAAUCGAUCUGAAAAAAAGAAUUGGUGCGCGUUAAUUUAAACAAAUCUCCUAAGAUCCAAGGCUACAGGAUCCGAGCUCACCAAAGAUCACAACACGGGGUAUGAGUUCCCGAGAGCCUGCUGUAAAUACGCCAGCUAUUUAAUCUCACUUGGAACCUGCAAGUUAGGUAACAUCCAGAUCUCCUUCCCAAAUGAAGGGCCGUGGCACAGGUGUCCUUGGAUGACCUGAAACUCACAUGGACAGGCCUGGCUUUGGACUCCUGGACAGACAGACAUACUGCCUCAGCUUCCAGAGUGUUGGGAUGAUAGGCAUGUGCUACCAUGCAGAGCUCUGCUUUGUAUUUUGAGACAGGGUCUCACUUUGUAACCCAUCUUGAGUUACAGCAAGCCUCCUGCCCUGGCCUCUAGAGUGCUGGGUUUUCAGGUGUAUAUAACCACACUCAGUUUACUUUCUGUAUGUUAGGAUGGUUUGGUAUUUCCCAAAGUUUGAAGGCUUGGGGGAAGUUUAUGCUCUUAGGGUAAGUCAUUGUUUGGAGCCUCAAAACGUUCUCUACCAGGGGCGUGGCUAUCUUGAACAAACUAACCAGUCCUGAGUCUGUAUUCCUGACAACUUCCUGAUUUAAGUCUCACACUCAAACCAUUUUUUCUCUUCUCCUAACUCACCCAGAGCCAGGUAUCAGGCGACAAGCCACCACUUGUGUAUCCAAACCCUCUGAACUGUUCCAGUUUGCCAUUGUUUGCCUGCCCAAGUUUUCCUCUCCCUUAGGAAUGGCAGCAAAGGCUCCACCUCAGACUUACCUCCACAUUCUGCGUCUUUGUUUUAAGAGCUUGGGCUACUCUGCAACUUUCCACGUAGCCUACUGACCUUGAACUUGUGAUUCUCCUGCGUCAGGCUCCUGAGUGCUGAGAUUGCACGUGCACAUCUGCACACUGAGCCUCCUCCCAUCAACCUGUGUUCUACUGCAUCAGACAGACUUGGUGCUCACCCUUGGCCCUGCCUAGCCAUGGGGCACCCCCUUCUCUGGGUAGGAUCUGUGGCAGUAGAACCAUCUCCCAAGUUUCCUUCUGGUCCCCUCCCAGGGCUAUUACCAUCCCACCUUCAAUCCCAUCCUUAGCAAGUACAGGUGUCUAGGAAAGUGGCAUGAGGACACACAGAUGAUAAGCCAAAAGUCUUAACUCACCUCAAGAAAUAGAUGAAAGAAACUCGGAGACUAUUGGGAAUUCUCCUCUUUGAGUUAUGAUCCUCUUAGUGGAGGAUGGGGGCGGGGGGCUGGCAACAGACUUGACCACAGGAGUCAGAGGUUCUAGGACCUGGUGACUUAGUUACUAUCUGUCACACCAAUAGGCCUUCUAGAAAAAAAGAUAAGGGGUUGUUAUUUAAAAAGGAUACAAGGGGCCAGAAGGAUGGCUCAGUGGGUAAACUGUGAUGACUCAAGUUCUGUCCCCAGGACCCAUACGUUAGAACAAGUUGACUCCUCCAUGUGUCCUCUGAUCUCCAUGUGCACUGAGGCUUGCACACCCUCUGCCAGCACACAGAAAAGAACGUGAUAAAACAUUCAUAGAAAAGGCAUUAGGACCGAGGAACAAAAAGCAACUGCAGAGUGCUACCAGUCUAGUGUGCAGAAAACGAUGCCUUCCUUCUGCCAGAACACAUAAAGGCAGCCCAGGCUCAGUCCUGCACUCCUGAGGGUGGGGUAGCUGGACCAGGAGUUUUCUUCUCUGGGGACAUAGUCCUUUGUUUGUUUGUUUGGGUUUUUGUUUUGUUUUGUUUUGUUUUUUCAAGACAGGGUUUCUCUGUGUAGCCCUGGCUGUCCUGGAACUCACUCCGUAGACCAGGCUGGCCUCGAACUCAGAAAUCCGCCUGCCUCUGCCUCCCGAGUGCUGGGAUUAAAGGUGUGCGCCACCACACCUGGCUUAUAGUGAGUCCUUUGUUAUAUCCUACAUGGUUACAUGGGACCACGAAAUGCAAUCUCUCUUUCUGAAUCUGAAUGUCUGCUCAUUCUCAUUCUUUUUAAUCUCUCUCUCUCUCUCUCUCUCUCUCUCUCUCUGUCUGUCUCUCUCUCUCGUGUGUGUGUGUGUGUGUGUGUGUGUAUGUGUGUGUAUGUGUGUGUGUCUGUCCAAUACCUGACAUGGUGGAUAGAUGGUAGGCCACAGGGCCUCACUGAGCAUCAGAUCUUAGUUUUGACCUUUCUUGAGGUAGGGUCUCUUGUUGUCCUUUGCAUAUGCCAGGCUAGCUGAUCCAUGAACUCCAGAUACCUCCUCUCUCUGCAGCAGCCUCCUCUCUCUGCAACAGCCUCCUCUCUCUGCAACAGCCUCCUCUCUCUGCAGCAGCCUCCUCUCUCUGCAGCACAGCCUCCUCUCUCUGCAGACAGCCUCCUCUCUCUGCCUGCCCUCUUAACCAUAGGAGAGCUGGGACCUGAACUUGUUGGGAUUAGAGGCCCACAUCACCACAUGCUGGUUUUGGCCCUCUUUCUUAUCUUCCACCACUUGAUCCAGCCCAGGACAUCCCUCCACUCUGCCUGCCAUGAAUUAACUCUUCUCUGGGUGGGAUCUGUGACUGUAUCGCCAUCUUCCUUGCUUCAGGUCCUCUCUCAGGAUUAUAAAGUCUUUACCAAGCCACCUCCCACUUCUGCAAGAAUAGUAUACACUGCAGGUGUUGGGGAAAGGGGCUGGGUAGGGCACAGGACAGAUGCCAAGCCAGGGAUGUAAUUAACCUCAAGAAAUAGAGGGCAGAGACUUGGGCCUUCUCUCUGAAGGGAGAUGCUAAGGGUGAAAGGUAGUGAAGGGAAACGACCACUAAGGUCCGCGGCCUCUGGCAGGGACGACACCAGUGAGCACUGGCAGCGUAGCUCAGACUCCUGGAAGCAAAGGUUCGAGACCAUUCUUAGAAAAGAUACGAGGGCUGGGGUUGUAACUCAGUAGUAGUGUGCUUGCUUAACUUGCCUGAAGCCCUGGGUUUGAUUCCCCAGCACCCAAUGUAAGUGUGGUGCCCAUGCCUGUAAUGCCAGCUCCUGGGGAGGCAGAGGCAGGAGAGGCAGGUCAUCCUGUGCUGCACUGCAAGGUCGCAAGGUCGCAAGGUCGAGGCCAGCCAGGGCUUCCUGAGUCCCAGUCUCAGGAAAGUUUAAAGAAAAAUCGACACAACACAGGGGGUUGCAAAGAGUGCUCAGAGGGCAGUGGCAGAAGCCAGGUCCUCUACCCACUGCUCCCUCUCCCCAGAAUGAGGGAGGCCACACCCCUCAGUCUCUCAAGGCCAGCUUCAGAGAGCUGCUGUGACCUCACAGCUCUCAGAGUUCCAUUCUCUCUAAGCCCCCUACAGUGCCAAGCCCAGACACUGAUGCCCAGACAACCUCGACUUAUAACUCUACUUAUAUCUAGUUCCUUCCUGUCUUGUGACUCACACCACAUAGGCUAGCUAGGUCAAGUGAUAUGGAUCUUAUCACCCUCCCCCCACCCCCC